rnacentral:tRNA from 1 species
GCCUUCGUGAUGUAGUGGUCAGCACGCUCGACGCGUAACCGAGAGGUCCGUGGUUCGAUUCCCGGCGAAGGCA